rnacentral:lncRNA from 1 species
UGAAAAAGGAGACAGCGAAAUAGACUUGUCAUCCUGUGCAGGUCUCUUACUAAAGCUUCCUGUUCAAAGUCUGGCUGAGAAUUUUUGCUGCUUCUUUCCCUACCUCCUCAUUUCCGAAGGAGGUACCUUUCUGGCUUCUCUGUUGAACAUUUCCUAAAUAAAGUGUGGAUGAAAAGCAAUAGAGGAAGGAAAUGCAGAAAAUUAUAAGGCUGAAAUAGAAACUGGCCACAGC